rnacentral:sRNA from 1 species
UCGGUAACGGCCAGAACAGACAGCCUGGGCCCUGCCGCAGGCUGACUCAGAAUCUUUGGGAGUAGUGACCAACUUCUGCUUUUGGAAAAACCUCUACAGGCGGUUCUGAGAAGUCCAAGGGUUGCUGGGAGAGGUUGCAGGUUGCACGCCAGGGCCUGUACUGACCACCUCCACGUGCCACUGGGGCUGUAAGGAGGAAUGGCGGCCGUGGGCAGCCUGCUUGGUCCUUGCUAUUGUCCACUGUCCCCUGUGCUGGAAGCUUUGUGCCCUUGCUCAGCCUGGCAGCCUCUUCCUGGCUAGGGGGCCAGAACGGCUCUGACCACAGCCUGUGGCUCCUGAGGAAGCCCCGAGGCUCAUCCUACCCCUGGCACGGGUCACCAGCUCUGCCGGCUGAGGCAGAGCACCGUGAAGGCCACCGGACCUGCACUCCGCCGCCUGCACGCAUCCUCCUGGCGAGCUGACAGCAGCAGG